GGGCCCUUAGUCGAUCGGUAAGACGCCGCCUUCGCAAGGCGGAGACACGGGGUUCAAUUCCCCGAGGGUCCA
rnacentral:tRNA from 1 species